CUCGUAGGCGGUUCGUCGCGUCCGGUGUGAAAGUCCAUCGCUUAACGGUGGAUCCGCGCCGGGUACGGGCGGGCUUGAGUGCGGUAGGGGAGACUGGAAUUCCCGGUGUAACGGUGGAAUGUGUAGAUAUCGGGAAGAACACCAAUGGCGAAGGCAGGUCUCUGGGCCGUCACUGACGCUGAGGAGCGAAAGCGUGGGGAGCGAAAC
rnacentral:rRNA from 1 species